rnacentral:ncRNA from 4 species
UGACCUCAAAUCAGGUAGGACUACCCGCU